rnacentral:rRNA from 1 species
AACACAUGCAAGUCGAGCGGUAACAGAUUGAUAGCUUGCUAUCAAUGCUGACGAGCGGCGGACGGGUGAGUAAUGCCUGGGAAUAUACCCUGAUGUGGGGGAUAACUAUUGGAAACGAUAGCUAAUACCGCAUAAUCUCUUCGGAGCAAAGAGGGGGACCUUCGGGCCUCUCGCGUCAGGAUUAGCCCAGGUGGGAUUAGCUAGUUGGUGGGGUAAUGGCUCACCAAGGCGACGAUCCCUAGCUGGUCUGAGAGGAUGAUCAGCCACACUGGAACUGAGACACGGUCCAGACUCCUACGGGAGGCAGCAGUGGGGAAUAUUGCACAAUGGGGGAAACCCUGAUGCAGCCAUGCCGCGUGUAUGAAGAAGGCCUUCGGGUUGUAAAGUACUUUCAGUUGUGAGGAAGGCGUUGGAGUUAAUAGCUUCAGCGCUUGACGUUAGCAACAGAAGAAGCACCGGCUAACUCCGUGCCAGCAGCCGCGGUAAUACGGAGGGUGCGAGCGUUAAUCGGAAUUACUGGGCGUAAAGCGCAUGCAGGCGGUCUGUUAAGCAAGAUGUGAAAGCCCGGGGCUCAACCUCGGAACAGCAUUUUGAACUGGCAGACUAGAGUCUUGUAGAGGGGGGUAGAAUUUCAGGUGUAGCGGUGAAAUGCGUAGAGAUCUGAAGGAAUACCGGUGGCGAAGGCGGCCCCCUGGACAAAGACUGACGC